UACGUAGGGCGCAAGCGUUGCUCGGAAUCACUGGGCGUAAAGCGUGAGUAGGUGGAUUUGGUAAGUCAGGUGUGAAAGCCUUGGGCUCAACUCAAGAAGUGCGCCUGAUACUGCCAGUCUAGAGUUCGGGAGAGGGAAGCGGAAUUCCUGGUGUAGGGGUGAAAUCCGUAGAUAUCAGGAGGAACACCUGUGGCGUAAGCGGCUUCCUGGACCGAUACUGACACUGAGUCACGAAAGCAUGGGGAUCAAACAGG
rnacentral:rRNA from 1 species